rnacentral:rRNA from 2 species
GCCGGUAAGGUGAUAUGAACCGUUAUAACCGGCGAUACCCGAAUGGGGAAACCCAGUGUGACUCGUCACACUAUCAUUAACUGAAUCCAUAGGUUAAUGAGGCGAACCGGGGGAACUGAAACAUCUAAGUACCCCGAGGAAAAGAAAUCAACCGAGAUUCCCCCAGUAGCGGCGAGCGAACGGGGAGGAGCCCAGAGCCUGAAUCAGCAUGUGUGUUAGUGGAAGCGUCUGGAAAGGCGCGCGAUACAGGGUGACAGCCCCGUACACAAAAGCGCAUGUGCUGUGAGCUCGAUGAGUAGGGCGGGACACGUGGUAUCCUGUCUGAAUAUGGGGGGACCAUCCUCCAAGGCUAAAUACUCCUGACUGACCGAUAGUGAACCAGUACCGUGAGGGAAAGGCGAAAAGAACCCCGGCGAGGGGAGUGAAAAAGAACCUGAAACCGU